rnacentral:tRNA from 1 species
UAGCAGUUAGUUUAAGUAAAACAUUCGAUUUCGGCUCGAAAACUUGUGGUUAAAGCCCGCAACUGGUUU